GCCUGGCUAGCUCAGUUGGUAGAGCAUGAGACUCUUUAUCUCAGGGUCGUGGGUUCAUGCCCCACGUUGGGCG
rnacentral:tRNA from 2 species